UUUAAUGCUGUUGUCCAUUAACAAACUCU
rnacentral:piRNA from 1 species